rnacentral:tRNA from 2 species
GCGGGUGUAGCUCAGUUGGUAGAGCACAAGCCUUCCAAGCUUGGGGUCGAGGGUUCGAACCCCUUCGCCCGCUCCA